AUUAGAGGCUCAAACAUAAACAUCAUGGAAUCCAAGAUGGCUGCACUGGCAUGUCACUGCUCAGAGGCCCCGGCUCAAUCCAACCAGAAUCCCGGGGAGUUGAUGCCAUCCAUCUGGAAUAUUUUAUUGCUUUUGUUCAAGCAAACAUUUGUGAAUUUCCUAGUAGGUUAUCAACAAAGUAAAGUGGGAUAUUGGGAUCUUUACUGAAAGAGCACCAAGGCCCAUCAAAGCCUAGUGAGCACAUUGUGAGUAAACCUGGGAAAAACAUCAAAUCUACCUGGAUACUUUAUCUACCUGGACAUUAUUUCUGCAAAAGACAAUGGUAGCAAAAAAAAAACCUGGAAGAGGUUAAAACAUCUCUGAAUGUUUUCUGAAAUUACCAAAGUUACAAAACCUCAAGAGCACCAUGAGCGAAAGAAAGAAGUAAACGAGAGAAGCUGUUUUCACCGACUAAACGAGGACUGAGGAGUCAUCAUUCGGAACAAAGAGCUCAUCAUUGGAUUAAAGACGAAACAUCGCAGCUAUAAGAACUACAAAUGAAGACUUCUGGAGUAAUUGCUGUUUGGAUCAGAGGAGAUGGAACAUCAAAAGGAAAACUGAAACAAGCAAAGCCAGUGGUGAGAGCCGCUGAGUGGCAGCAGCACUCAUUAAAGUGGACAGCGAGGAAGAGGAGGAGGGCUGACGUCGCAGAACGCUGCAGGAAGUUGUUAGCGAGACGGAGAAAAUCGGCAAACCGGCGCAUCUUAACACAUUUCUGUAAAUCACCACGAGUCUCCAGCUCGCAGAGACAAACCACACCUACAGAAACCGUCUGCAGACGGGGGGCGGUCGUUUGGAAGGAAAACGGAGACAGGACUGCAUGCAGCCACGCUAGCAUCCACUGCAGAGAGUUUGGAAGUUAAGUAUUCAUGACAUGAAUAUUCCAUCAAAACCAUCCGCAGAACAUACUGAUCACAAGCUUUUAAAUAACUAAAACUGCAAGCUGAGCAUGUCGAGUCUGAGGGCUCCUCUAAUCUUUUAUGCUUCCAAUAGGUGAACAAAAGUAUCAGUACUGUACUCCAUUACUGUCUCUGUGUGCUAAAAUUUAAUGACGGUGUCAGCAUUUCUGUUCAAAGGCCUCGUUCUGAUCAGAUAAGCCUCUCGUUUCCUCCCCUUAUUUGAACUCCCUUGAACUAGAAAAUGGAUCUCCACCCCCCCCACCCCCCACCCCCC